rnacentral:misc_RNA from 1 species
UGAUCCUUUAACCAAACUUGUAUGCGUCUCUCGACAUUAUCAGGGAAAUAUGUGAUAAUCAAAAUUCCCAAUGACGGCCUAGCUUUCUAUCUCCAUGAAGUUAGGGGAUUAUCUAACUAGGUUUCUAGAACAAUGUUUUACCGACAUCUGAAAAACAGAAAGCGAAUUCCCAUGAGCUUGUGUGCUUUCCAUCACAAAUACUCAAACUCUCCACAACCAUUAAAAACCCAGAUUCUUCUA